CACGGGUCUCCCACCGGAGUUGGUCAGAACUGCUGUGAUGGGUCUCCCACCGGGGUUUCUCAGGUCGACUGUGACAGCAAAACAAGCAAUGUUAAAGACCAGACGGCAGCACACGUCAACUUGAAUAACACUGUGUAUUCCCCUCUGACCUCGCGAGACGAAGGAAGGACAAAGCUGCCCGAGUUCCGGUUUACGUGAAGAGAAAAACCGUCAUAGGAAGCAGGCUGAACAUGGCAAUGGCAGGACACGGGUCU